rnacentral:rRNA from 1 species
CCCGCCGGCGACCGGCGCACGGGUGAGUAACGCGUAUCCAACCUGCCCUUUACUAUGGGACAGCCCGUCGAAAGGCGGAUUAAUACCGUAUGUUGUCAUGUUGAUGCAUAUUUUCAUGACCAAAGGCUUCGGCCGGUAAAGGAUGGGGAUGCGUCUGAUUAGCUUGCCGGCGGGGUAACGGCCCACCGGGGCGACGAUCAGUAGGGGUUCUGAGAGGAAGGUCCCCCACAUUGGAACUGAGACACGGUCCAAACUCCUACGGGAGGCAGCAG